CCUUAACAGCCUUUGAUAAGAAAAUCUUCCAAAACAAUGGGCAGGUCAGCUGCCCUGGAUGGUGAGAAGAACAGCAAGAUGCUGAUCAAUCUCCUGCUCCUCCUUUUGUUUUUGGGACCAGCUAUUCUGAACAGAAAAAGUAGAAUCUACAUCUAUGAAGGUUUUAUCAUGAAGAUCAGAUUGAAGAAGCAAUCAGGACAAAUUCUUUUAAAUAUUCAAGGCAACCCCUUUUUAACAAAUCAAUUUUUAAAAUGUCUUUUUAUAUUUACCAACUUUUAAAAUAAAAUAUGUUGCAAAGAGAUCUC